rnacentral:rRNA from 1 species
AUUGAACGCUGGCGGCAGACCUAACACAUGCAAGUCGCACGAGUGGCGGACGGGUGAGUAAUGUCUGGGCAACUGCCUGAUGGAGGGGGAUAACUACUGGAAACGGUAGCUAAUACCGCAUACCAUCAGAUGUGCCCAGAUGGGAUUAUCUUGUUGGUGGGGUAACGGCUCACCAAGGCGACGAUCCCUAGCUGGUCUGAGAGGAUGACCAGCCACACUGGAACGGAGACACGGUCCAGAGUCCUAAGGGAGGCAGCAGUGGGGAAUAUUGCACAAUGGGCGCAAGCCUGAUGCAGACAUGCCGCGUGUAUGAAGAAGGCCUUCGGGUUGUAAAGUACUUUCAGCGGGGAGGCGUUACCCGCACAAGAAGCACGUGCUAACUCCGUGCCAGCCGCAGCGGUAAUUC